UGAGGAACCUGCCUCAAAGAGGGGGACAACAGUUGGAAACGACUGCUAAUACCGCAUAAGCCCACAGCUCGGCAUCGAGCAGAGGGAAAAGGAGCAAUCCGCUUUGAGAUGGCCUCGCGUCCGAUUAGCUAGUUGGUGAGGUAACGGCCCACCAAGGCGACGAUCGGUAGCCGGACUGAGAGGUUGAACGGCCACAUUGGGACUGAGACACGGCCCAGACUCCUACGGGAGGCAGCAGUGGGGAAUAUUGCACAAUGGGGGAAACCCUGAUGCAGCGACGCCGCGUGGAGGAAGAAGGUCUUCGGAUUGUAAACUCCUGUUGUUGAGGAAGAUAAUGACGGUACUCAACAAGGAAGUGACGGCUAACUACGUGCCAGCAGCCGCGGUAAAACGUAGGUCACAAGCGUUGUCCGGAAUUACUGGGUGUAAAGGGAGCGCAGGCGGGAGAACAAGUUGGAAGUGAAAUCCAUGGGCUCAACCCAUGAACUGCUUUCAAAACUGUUUUUCUUGAGUAGUGCAGAGGUAGGCGGAAUUCCCGGUGUAGCGGUGGAAUGCGUAGAUAUCGGGAGGAACACCAGUGGCGAAGGCGGCCUACUGGGCACCAACUGACGCUGAGGCUCGAAAGUGUGGGUAGCAAA
rnacentral:rRNA from 1 species